GUGGGUAAAUGUACCCAUAAACAAAUGCUAUAUGCGAGAGAACUAAUCAUGUUUUUUCUUGUUAUUUAGUGUUUAACCAAAUUUGUUACAGCUUGGAGAAUUAAUGCCUUGGUGGGAGUUGCUGAUCGGGAGACCUGCUAAAACCGGACGAGACCAUGGACCUCAUUGGGCGCCGCGACACUGGAGGUGUCGUCUGCUGGGUCAUCUGCCUCCUUGCCGUUAGUGCCAUGGUCCAGCCCUCCUGGGGGAUGGCCGAGGGCUGAACCUGCAGGACAAGUCAAGAAGCUAGAUCUAUACAACUUGACGCCGAAUGCGACCCUAAUCAUCAGGGAUCAAACUGGACAAUAGUGGCGGAUGAAGACUUCAUCAUCGGAGACAGCGAACCUAUUGGGCACAAUACCCGUGGGUAUCCGGUGAGAGUGAUUCCUCGAAAGCUACCGCCGACCAUAACUUUGACACACUUGUCCCCCGUUUUGGAUACCUGCACACACCUUGCACAGGCAACAAUCGAAAC